rnacentral:rRNA from 1 species
UCACUCCUACGGGAGGCAGCAGUGGGGAAUAUUGCACAAUGGGCGCAAGCCUGAUGCAGCCAUGCCGCGUGUAUGAAGAAGGCCUUCGGGUUGUAAAGUACUUUCAGCAGUGAGGAAGGCGGGUACGUUAAUAGCGUGCUCGUUUGACGUUAGCUGCAGAAGAAGCACCGGCUAACUCCGUGCCAGCAGCCGCGGUAAUACGGAGGGUGCGAGCGUUAAUCGGAAUUACUGGGCGUAAAGCGCAUGCAGGUGGUUUGUUAAGUCAGAUGUGAAAGCCCGGGGCUCAACCUCGGAAUUGCAUUUGAAACUGGCAGACUAGAGUACUGUAGAGGGGGUAGAAUUUCAGGUGUAGCGGUGAAAAUGCGUAGAGAUCUGAAGGAAUACCGGUGGCGAAGGCGGCCCCCUGGACAGAUACUGACACUCAGAUGCGAAAGCGUGGGGAGCAAACAGGAUUAGAUACCCUGGUAG